rnacentral:rRNA from 1 species
GAGUUUGAUCAUGGCUCAGGAUGAACGCUGGCGGCGUGCCUAAUACAUGCAAGUCGAGCGAACGGACGAGAAGCUUGCUUCUCUGAUGUUAGCGGCGGACGGGUGAGUAACACGUGGAUAACCUACCUAUAAGACUGGGAUAACUUCGGGAAACCGGAGCUAAUACCGGAUAAUAUUUUGAACCGCAUGGUUCAAAAAGUGAAAGACGGUCUUGCUGUCACUUAUAGAUGGAUCCGCGCUGCAUUAGCUAGUUGGUAAGGUAACGGCUUACCAAGGCAACGAUGCAUAGCCGACCUGAGAGGGUGAUCGGCCACACUGGAACUGAGACACGGUCCAGACUCCUACGGGAGGCAGCAGUAGGGAAUCUUCCGCAAUGGGCGAAAGCCUGACGGAGCAACGCCGCGUGAGUGAUGAAGGUCUUCGGAUCGUAAAACUCUGUUAUUAGGGAAGAACAUAUGUGUAAGUAACUGUGCACAUCUUGACGGUACCUAAUCAGAA